GGGAUGGAGCAGUCUGGUAGCUCGUCGGGCUCAUAACCCGAAGGUCGUUGGUUCAAAUCCAGCUCCC
rnacentral:tRNA from 1 species